rnacentral:rRNA from 1 species
UACGUAGGGUGCAAGCGUUAAUCGGAAUUACUGGGCGUAAAGCGUGCGCAGGCGGUGAUGUAAGGCAGGUGUGAAAUCCCCGGGCUUAACCUGGGAACUGCAUUUGUGACUGCAUCGCUGGAGUGCGGCAGAGGGGGAUGGAAUUCCGCGUGUAGCAGUGAAAUGCGUAGAUAUGCGGAGGAACACCGAUGGCGAAGGCAAUCCCCUGGGCCUGCACUGACGCUCAUGCACGAAAGCGUGGGGAGCAAACAGG